AUUUCACAUGUUAAACUAAUAUAGUUUAAUUUAAAGGGUAAAGAUUAUUGUUUGAAGCCGUCUCAUAUAAAUGUUAUACGCUUAAACGAUAAGUCCAAGGAAUAUGUAAUUGGGAGAAUGUGAUCUAAAGAAGUUAGAUUCAUGAGACCAUUCUCUUUCGUAUACAUAUCAUAAACGUUCCUGAUCAUAAGAUUGCCAAUUAGGCAUUGACAGUCCGUUAAGAUCAGUACGUGCUAUGUCUUCUCUUAGGGAGAGUGACUGGUCUCGAGUCAUUGGUGUGAUUGACACCAAGACAAGUACGUAGGGGCUCAAUAGAGAAUGAGUUCACUGAACACAAUCAACAAGGAGUUCUCAUACUCAUGUCACAUGAGAACUCAUGGUUGGGAUAAUGCAAAGUAGUGCUUUGACCUGAGGCAUCAUAGUUGUCUUAUGGUUAGGUCCUUGAUCUUUGACUAUGUCAAAGUCACUCCAUCCGAGGGUGUCCACGACAUAAUUGGGGUUAAGCCACUUAGCCAUGGAGGCAAGUGAAUGCGCAACAAGGGAUCUCUAACCUUCAAACCGUUUGAGG
rnacentral:lncRNA from 1 species